CCACAUUAGAGGAAGGAGGAAUUAUUUCAAAUCCACAGAGCGACCAAAACGAAGUAUAACAAAGCCUCCCCGAUAUUUAACAACAUCAUCAGAUGAAGGACCUCCACAGAGGAGGCGCUUCGCAGCAUCUGCUGCAGCUGGUUCUAUCAAUGACGAC